AGUGAACGCUGGCGGUAGGCCUAACACAUGCAAGUCGAACGGCAGCACAGUAAGAGCUUGCUCUUACGGGUGGCGAGUGGCGGACGGGUGAGGAAUACAUCGGAAUCUACUUUUUCGUGGGGGAUAAUGUAGGGAAACUUACGCUAAUACCGCAUACGACCUACGGGUGAAAGCAGGGGAUCCUCGGACCUUGCGCGAUUGAAUGAGCCGAUGUCGGAUUAGCUAGUUGGCGGGGUAAAGGCCCACCAAGGCGACGAUCCGUAGCUGGUCUGAGAGGAUGAUCAGCCACACUGGAACUGAGACACGGUCCAGACUCCUACGGGAGGCGGCAGUGGGGAAUAUUGGACAAUGGGCGCAAGCCUGAUCCAGCCAUACCGCGUGGGUGAAGAAGGCCUUCGGGUUGUAAAGCCCUUUUGUUGGGAAAGAAAAGCAGCAGGUUAAUACCCCGCUGUUCUGACGGUACCCAAAGAAUAAGCACCGGCUAACUUCGUG
rnacentral:rRNA from 1 species